GCUGUCCACACCCCCGGUGACCCAUAUGCUCUCCCGCUUCCUUGAGUCCAUCAACCCCCUGUGCGUCCCGGGGGCUUCUUGUCCAGUGUGGACCCCAAGCAAGGGAUGCUGAAGGUCAAGAUCUAUGUGAGGUUUUCCCAUUGCUGCUGCUGAAGUUCUCAGCUCGGUAGUUCGAUGGGACGUAGCCCAGCUGUGUUUGUUGUUGUAAUGUAUUCGUCAUCGCUACCCGGUGCACCUGCCACGGAUUCUUAGCCCCGAGUCAGCUCUCACCCUGCCAUUCGCCCAUCUGCUUUCUUCCCGGAGCAAAGGGAGACGCGACCUGCCCAGCCUCCCACUGCUACACAGUGGCUGUCACCUGUCGCGUCGUCCUGCGGCCCCUUCCUAAAUGCCUUUAGGAUGCUUCUUGCUCCUGCUCCAGGGCACCAGCUAGCCGCAAUAACCUUCGCGGACUCUAGCUGCUCUUGGAACGGAACCCCCGUCGUUGAAGAGAGCAUCUUAGGAGGCAGAUGGACACCCUUAAAAAAAAAAAGUUUAAAUAUUUGUGUGUAUGUAUCUUAAUAUAAUUUUUAGAGGGAACAAAUGAACUCAUCCAAACCAUAGUUUCAUGGGUUCUUUAUCGCAGUGAAGAAGGCUGAGGGGAAACAGGGUCCUUUCAAAGCUGGUUUUGCAGACCCAGGACGAAGGGAGGAGCAAGGAAUGAGGACACGGGACGCCCACCCGAGGCCAACUGUGUGGGAUCCGCGGGUGCCUGACGGGCUAAAGAAAGAAAGAACACGGCAGUCGUCUGGGCUCCGCAUGCGCCCGUCAUCCGUAAAUAGAGUGAGAGAGCACAAGCAGUGGGAACAAGAGAAAGAGUGGGAGAAGCAGUCUACCUGCUGAGCAGGCAGCCUGAAUGCAGGGCUCGAUCCGAGGACCCUGAGAUCAUGACCUGAGCUGAAGGCACACACCUAACCAACUAAGCCACCCAGGAAACCCCAAAAUGUCAAAAUUUUAAAUAAAAACAGUAUCUGACUGUGCCAAAACUAAGUCAUAUUAGAGUCUGAGACAAAAAUAAAAAUGUGUGCCCCUAAACACAUGUUUUUAUGUAUUUUGUUUGGUUUUUAUGUAUUUUUAAAUGGUUGUUUUCUGGACCAUUAAGAUAGCUUUAAAAAAUACUGACAAGUUG
rnacentral:lncRNA from 1 species